rnacentral:rRNA from 1 species
GACGAACUGUGCAAACGUUAUUCGGAAUCACUGGCUUGAAGAGUGCGUAGGCGGUUUCGUAAGUAGGGUGUGAAAGCCCCCGGCUCAACCGGGAACGGGCGCCGAUACGACCGCCCUGGAGGGACGUAGGGGGGACCUGGAACUUCCGGUGGAGCGGUGAAUGCGUUGAGAUCGGAAGGAACGCCCGUGGCGAAAGCGAGGUCCUGGACCGUUUUCUGACGCUGAGACGCGAAAGCCAGGGGAGCGAACGGGG